UUUGAUAAGCUAACAUGAGACAGGAGCUUUUUUUCACGGUUGUGUCAGUGUAUCAGACAC
rnacentral:pre_miRNA from 1 species